rnacentral:rRNA from 1 species
ACGAACGCUGGCGGCGUGCUUAACACAUGCAAGUCGAACGGAAAGGCCCUGCUUUUGUGGGGUGCUCGAGUGGCGAACGGGUGAGCAACACGUGAGUAACCUGCCCUUGACUUUGGGAUAACUUCAGGAAACUGGGGCUAAUACCGGAUAGGAGCUCCUGCUGCAUAGUGGGGGUUGGAAAGUUUCGGCGGUUGGGGAUGGACUCGCGGCUUAUCAGCUUGUUGGUGGGGUAGUGGCUUACCAAGGCUUUGACGGGUAGCCGGCCUGAGAGGGUGACCGGCCACAUUGGGACUGAGAUACGGCCCAGACUCCUACGGGAGGCAGCAGUGGGGAAUAUUGCACAAUGGGCGGAAGCCUGAUGCAGCAACGCCGCGUGCGGGAUGACGGCCUUCGGGUUGUAAACCGCUUUCGCCUGUGACGAAGCGUGAGUGACGGUAAUGGGUAAAGAAGCACCGGCUAACUACGUG